GGCUCCAGAGCACGUCUGCUUUACACGCAGAAGGUCCUGGGUUCGUGCCCCAGGUGGAGCCA
rnacentral:tRNA from 1 species